UCUACGGGUGGCAGCAGUGAGGAAUAUUGGUCAAUGGACGCAAGUCUGAACCAGCCAUGUCGCGUGCAGGAAGACGGCUCUAUGAGUUGUAAACUGCUUUUGUACGAGGGUAAACGCAGAUACGCGUAUCUGUCUGAAAGUAUCGUACGAAUAAGGAUCGGCUAACUCCGUGCCAGCAGCCGCGGUAAUACGGAGGAUUCAAGCGUUAUCCGGAUUUAUUGGGGUUAAAGGGUGCGUAGGCGGUCGGAUAAGUUAGAGGUGAAAUCCCGAGGCUCAACUUCGGAAUUGCCUCUGAUACUGUUCGGCUAGAGAGUAGUUGCGGUAGGCGGAAUGUAUGGUGUAGCGGUGAAAUGCUUAGAGAUCAUACAGAACACCGAUUGCGAAGGCAGCGUACCGGCGCCAGACUGACGCUGAGGCACGAAAGCGUGGGGAUCGAACAGGAUUAGAUACCAGGGUAGUC
rnacentral:rRNA from 1 species